UCCCGCACGUAGACGAUGCCUGCAGAGGAGACACAAACGCCACUGAGAACGCCGCAGAGGCGGAGCUGAUCACGAGACGACCGUCGCCGCCUGACCGCCGCCUGACCGCCGCCUGACCACGAGUCACUGCGGCUUUUAAGGAUCGUUUUCAUUCAUGAUCCAGAGUUUCCUUCAGACUUCAUCGUUCUGUUCUGCUCCAUCCGCACCUGAGGGGGGUUGCCAUGGUUACGAGGUCAUGUGACGUCCUCUCAGCUGAUCUCUCAGGUGUUCCAGCAGCAGCUCGUCAUGGAAAUCAGGUCGGCUGAUGCAUGAAGACAUGCAAAUCCCUGGGGGGGUGGGGGGUACCAGGACUGACAUCCGUAGGAACUCAAGCUCCUUUUAUACACAGCACUGAUAAAGUCGUGACGUCCCUGAAUGCAUCACAGCAUCAACGACCUGCUAGCUUCCACCGUUAGCCUCCACCGUUAGCCUCCACCU